UACGUAGGGUGCAAGCGUUAAUCGGAAUUACUGGGCGUAAAGCGUGCGCAGGCGGUUGUGCAAGACCGAUGUGAAAUCCCCGGGCUCAAACUGGGAAUGGCAUUGGUGACUGCACGGCUAGAGUGUGUCAGAGGGGGGUAGAAUUCCACGUGUAGCAGUGAAAUGCGUAGAGAUGUGGAGGAAUACCGAUGGCGAAGGCAGCCCCCUGGGAUAACACUGACGCUCAUGCACGAAAGCGUGGGGAGCAAACAGG
rnacentral:rRNA from 1 species